rnacentral:rRNA from 1 species
AACGUAGGGGACAAGCGUUAUCCGGAUUUACUGGGCGUAAAGCGCCCGUAGGCGGCCUGACAAGUUGGACGUGAAAGCUCCUGGCUUAACUGGGAGAGGCCGUUCAAAACUGUCAAGCUAGAGUCUGGAAGAGGCGAGUGGAAUUCCCGGUGUAGCGGUGCAAUGCGCAGAUAUCGGGAGGAACACCAAUGGCGAAGGCAGCUCGCUGGGACGGUACUGACGCUGAGACGCGAAAGCGUGGGGAGCAAACAGG